GCAAGUCGAGGGGUAACAGGGAAAGCUUGCUUUCCGCUGACGACCGGCGAACGGGUGCGUAACACGUAUGCAACCUACCUUCCACUGGGGUAUAGCCCAGAGAAAUUUGGAUUAAUCCCCCAUAGAACCAAGAGCCGCAUGGCUCAAUGGUUAAAGGAUUCCGGUGGAAGAUGGGCAUGCGUCCCAUUAGCUAGUAGGUGGGGUAACGGCUCACCUAGGCAACGAUGGGUAGGGGGUCUGAGAGGAUGAUCCCCCACACUGGUACUGAGACACGGACCAGACUCCUACGGGAGGCAGCAGUGAGGAAUAUUGCGCAAUGGACGAAAGCCUGACGCAGCCAUGCCGCGUGAAGGAUGACGGCCCUAUGGGUUGUAAACUUCUUUUAUAUACCAAGAAACCUCGGGACGUGUCCCGAGCUGACGGUAGUGUAUGAAUAAGCACCGGCUAACUCCGUGCCAGCAGCCGCGGUAAUACGGAGGGUGCAAGCGUUAUCCGGAUUUAUUGGGUUUAAAGGGUCCGUAGGUGGACCAUUAAGUCAGAAGUGAAAUCCCGCGGCUCAACCGCGGAACUGCUUUUGAUACUGGUGGUCUUGAGUGUGCUCGAAGUUGGCGGAAUAUGACAUGUAGCGGUGAAAUGCUUAGAUAUGUCAUAGAACACCGAUUGCGAAGGCAGCCAACUAGGUCACAACUGACACUGAGGGACGAAAGCGUGGGGAGCGAACAGGAUUAGAUACCCUGGUAGUCCACGCCCUAAACGAUGAAUACUCGGUAUUGGCUUCGGUCAGUGCCCAAGCGAAAGUGAUAAGUAUUCCACCUGGGGAGUACGGCCGCAAGGUUGAAACUCAAA
rnacentral:rRNA from 1 species